AACUGAAGAGUUUGAUCAUGGCUCAGAUUGAACGCUGGCGGCAGGCUUAACNCAUGCAAGUCGAGCGGGGGAAGUGCUGCUACUGACCUAGCGGCGGACGGGUGAGUAAUGCUUAGGAAUCUGCCUA
rnacentral:rRNA from 1 species